rnacentral:rRNA from 1 species
AGUGAACGCUGGCGGUAGGCCUAACACAUGCAAGUCGAACGGCAGCACAGUAAGAGCUUGCUCUUACGGGUGGCGAGUGGCGGACGGGUGAGGAAUACAUCGGAAUCUACUUUUUCGUGGGGGAUAACGUAGGGAAACUUACGCUAAUACCGCAUACGACCUACGGGUGAAAGCAGGGGAUCUUCGGACCUUGCGCGAUUGAAUGAGCCGAUGUCGGAUUAGCUAGUUGGCGGGGUAAGGGCCCACCAAGGCGACGAUCCGUAGCUGGUCUGAGAGGAUGACCGGCCACAGGGGGAAUGACAGACGGCCCAGACUACUGUGGGAGGCAGCAGGGGGGAAUAUUGAACAACGGUCGGAAGACAGAGACAGCAACGCCGCGCGCGCGAGGAUGUCCUGCGGGAUGUAAAACGAUGUCCCCUGGGAAGAAGCGUGAGUGACGGUAAGGGGUAAAGAAGCAACGGCGAACUACGUG